rnacentral:rRNA from 1 species
UACGUAGGGUGCGAGCGUUAAUCGGAAUUACUGGGCGUAAAGCGUGCGCAGGCGGUUCAGUAAGGCAGAGGUGAAAUUCCCGGGCUCAACCUGGGAACUGCCUUUGUGACUGCAUGACUAGAGUACGGCAGAGGGGGAUGGAAUUCCGCGUGUAGCAGUGAAAUGCGUAGAUAUGCGGAGGAACACCGAUGGCGAAGGCAAUCCCCUGGGCCUGUACUGACGCUCAUGCACGAAAGCGUGGGGGGCAAACAGG